ACAGGUGUGCAAACCACUGCUGACAAUGGCUCUGAUGAAGACCUGAGUAGGUAGCAAUAAGUUGGCUGUUUUUAACAUAUGUGAGAUGUAAAUUAAGACAUUUCAAUUUUACACCACUAAUACAGUGUGCCUUGGAGUAUUUUUUGAAGGACUGUUGCAGUUUUCAAUUUUUACCGAUGCAACUAUAGCCGGUACAAGCCUAAAGUAUCCAAGGAGCACCUAGAGCCAGUAGUGCUUCCAUCCCCCAGUUUCAGGGAAUUCAGUGUGAUUUAUGGACUGCAUUUUACCACCUACGCUGAUGAAGGUUCCGCAAAAUAUCAAGGGUCACUCUCCUGCACCGCACCUUCCACCUAUGCAAAGCUUCAACACUUGCUGUAAAUUUCAUCAAGAAUGAAGACAGUGGAAGGCCUCUGCUGUGUUGUUGAAGAAUUGCGUGCGAAACACCAGGGCCGGUUAAACUAGGCAUCACCUUGAUGAUCCUUGAUGUCCCACAGCUUUAUCAGCUCCGCAAGGACGCAGUUGGACAUCAGAUCACCUCGGACUGCUUCAACAAUGAGGGUUUUACAAAGCUGGGUUUACAUCAACAUGGACUCACUUAAAAGGAUCUUUACCAACUGUUUGUGACCCAACAACAUUUAACGGGCGAUUGACAACACUCAAGCAGCCACCCACUCAGAUCAUUGCAUGGAUAAUGAGGUUGGACACUAAGAGGCAGCGCAUCCUCCACAGAGGCUGAAUUUGGGAUUUUUGGAACAGACGUCUAAACCUUGCUUAAAUGACAACUAGAAACAUGUAAACAGCCUAAAAGAAACA